rnacentral:rRNA from 1 species
GGAUUAGAAACCCGGGUAGUCCACGCCGUAAACGAUGUAUGCUAGCUGUCGGGAUCUUUAGGUCUCGGCGGCGGAGGGAAACCAUUAAGCAUACCGCCUGGGGAGUACGGCCGCAAGGUUAAAACUCAAAGGAAUUGACGGGGACCCGCACAAGCGGUGGAGUAUGUUGUUUAAUUCGAAGCAACGCGAAGAACCUUACCUACGCUUGACAUACCGGUUGGGAGGGGCAGAGAUGUCCUUCUUCAUUUAGUUGGACCGGAUACAGGUGCUGCAUGGCUGUCGUCAGCUCGUGUCGUGAGAUGUUGGGUUAAGUCCCGCAACGAGCGCAACCCUUAUCGUAUGUUGCCAGCAUUAAGUUGGGCACUCGUGCGAGACCGCCGGUGACAAGCCGGAG